CCACUGGAGGAAACUCUGAUGCUGUCGAUGCCGCGUGAGUGAAGAAGGCCUUUGGGUUGUAAAGCUCUUUUGUAGGGGAAGAUAAUGACUGUACCCUAAGAAUAAGGUCCGGCUAACUUCGUGCCAGCAGCCGCGGUAAUACGAAGGGACCUAGCGUAGUUCGGAAUUACUGGGCGUAAAGCGCGCGUAGGCCGUUGAGUUAGUUAAUUGUGAAAUCCCAAAGCUUAACUUUGGAACUGCAAUUAAAACUGCUCGACUAGAGUUUGAUAGAGGAAAGCGGAAUACAUAGUGUAGAGGUGAAAUUCGUAGAUAUUAUGUAGAACACCAGUUGCGAAGGCGGCUUUCUGGGUCAACACUGACGCUGAGGCGCGAAAGUAUGGGUAGCAAAGAGGAUUAGAUACCCUCGUAGUCCAUACCAUAAACGAUGAUUGCUAGAUGUUGGAAAUUUAUUUUCAGUAUCGCAGCUAACGCAUUAAGCAAUCCGCCUGGGGAGUACGACCGCAAGGUUAAAACUCAAAGGAAUUGACGGGGACCCGCACAAGCGGUGGAUGAUGUGGAUUAAUUCGAUGCAACGCGAAAAACCUUACCUACCCUUGACAUGUACGGAACCCUGCUGAGAGGUGGGGGUGCUCGAAAGAGAGCCGUAACACAGGUGCUGCAUGGCUGUCGUCAGCUCGUGUCGUGAGAUGUCGGGUAAGUCCCGAACGAGCGCACCUUGUCUAUUGGUCGAAAGGCCUCUAUGAACGGCGUGACAACGGAGA
rnacentral:rRNA from 1 species